rnacentral:rRNA from 1 species
AACGCGUGGGCAACCUGCCCUCUAGAUGGGGACAACAUCCCGAAAGGGGUGCUAAUACCGAAUGUGACAGCAAUCUCGCAUGAGGAUGCUGUGAAAGAUGGCCUCUAUUUAUAAGCUAUCGCUAGAGGAUGAGCCUGCGUCUGAUUAGCUAGUUGGUGGGGUAACGGCCUACCAAGGCGAUGAUCAGUAGCCGGUCUGAGAGGAUGAACGGCCACAUUGGGACUGAGACACGGCCCAGACUCCUACGGGAGGCAGCAGUGGGGAAUCUUCCGCAAUGGGCGAAAGCCUGACGGAGCAAUGCCGCGUGAGUGAUGAAGGAAUUCGUUCCGUAAAGCUCUUUUGUUUAUGACGAAUGUGCAGGUUGUGAAUAAUGACUUGUAAUGACGG